rnacentral:rRNA from 1 species
ACAAACGUUAUUCGGAAUUACUGGGCUUAAAGGGUUUGUAGGCGGCCUUGUAAGUCAGGUGUGAAAUCCCUCGGCUCAACCGAGGAAUAGCGCUUGAUACUGCAAGGCUUGAGGGAGACAGGGGUAAGCGGAACUGAUGGUGGAGCGGUGAAAUGCGUUGAUAUCAUCAGGAACACCGGUGGCGAAAGCGGCUUACUGGGUCUCUUCUGACGCUGAGGAACGCAAGCUAGGGGAGCGAACGGG